CUCGUAGGCGGCCAACUAAGUCAGACGUGAAAUCCCUCGGCUUAACCGGGGAACUGCGUCUGAUACUGGAUGGCUUGAGUUUGGGAGAGGGAUGCGGAAUUCCAGGUGUAGCGGUGAAAUGCGUAGAUAUCUGGAGGAACACCGGUGGCGAAGGCGGCAUCCUGGACCAAUACUGACGCUGAGGAGCGAAAGCCGAGGGGAGCAAACGGGAUUAGAUACCCCGGUAGUCCUGGCCCUAAACGAUGAAUGCUUGGUGUGACGGGUAUCGAUCCCUGUCGUGCCGAAGCUAACGCAUUAAGCAUUCCGCCUGGGGAUACGGUCGCAAGGCUAGAA
rnacentral:rRNA from 1 species